rnacentral:lncRNA from 1 species
AAGUGGGUGAUCAUGGUGCUCUAGUUUGAUAUGGAUUUUACCACACACACAAAUGGAUUAAAAACUCCUAUAAUACUUGCAAGAAUGACAAGGAUAUUGUAGUAUAAAUGGUUCUCGCAAGGUCAUUCUCCACAAGGAUUAUUAAAUAAAUCGAAGCAAAUCAAAUUCUAAUUAAUUAUUGUAAAGAAAAAAGUUGAGGUGAUUGAUUUUUAUUAAACGAAUUUAACUAAUAAAAAUAAGACAAUCUGCAAUAUUAAAGCUGAAGGGAAAGAAAACAGUUUUGUAGAAAUCAAAUUACGAAAACACUAGGGAUCCGCCGUCACCUUAACAAUCCUAUAUAGUUUUUCCAAUUACUUAUAACCUAUACAUGCAUAUUUCGAAGGUUAGGUGUUUCUAAUAUAUGCCUACUUGGACCCCCAAUAUAGAGCGUAUAUCAAACAUGUAUGACUCAUUAAGUUCUGUGAAACCUUUUGAAAAACCCUGCAACCUUUAAGAUGUGGUAUUCAUCUUAAGUGAACUUGCACAUAUUAAUCACUAGAAGCCUUUGUUAAUUUCAGAGACCGACCUCCGACCAAAAUCGCAUCAAAUUACUUUUCUAAACAUCCUAAUGGUGAUCAAGCAUCAUGACAAUUAGAUAGUUUAAAUCAGUGAUCAAUAAUUCGAAAACCUGCAUGCAUGUAAUCAUAAGCAAAUUGAAAAGAAACUACAUACUCUCGCUAAGGCUCGUGGCCUCACCCUAGCAAAAAGAAAAUUAGUUACGGAUAUUCAAAACAAAAAUCAUAAAGUUCUUUAUUGAAAUAAUAAAAGAUCAAAAACACAUUGAAUGGAAAAAGUCUGAAAAUUUCUAUGCUUGG